UAGUAGAUAAGCUUCCUUUUAUGUUUGAUGAUAUUAUUUUUUAGGUAGCCAAAUUGUUCAGGUAACACAAAGAAGCACUCAACAAUCUACAUGGAAUAGUGAUUUCCUGGUGGAUUUUUGGGUGGUAUGCAUAGAAUAUGUGACACCUUGGUUCCAGACUAUUUUUUAUGUACAGCUAAAUAAAUAUGAAGGCAUAUUGAAGCACUUAGGUUUCACUGUCGUUUCAAAUAGGUGCCAUCCAAUAGCAAUAUAUGUGACAGAGAAGAGGUACCAGUCACCACCUGAAAACAUCAGGUCAGUAAUCUGAGACUUAAAGUAGUUAAAUUUAGUGGGACUAGUUAAUUAUUAAAUUGUAUGUAACAUGGGCAUUCUUGAAUUAGCUGCAUAUUUUAGGAAAUGUUCCUCUAGGAAACUGCAUGACCUAAUUUUUAAGAACUAAGGGUCUCUUAGUGACUAAAAAUCCAGCUCAGUAAAGUUAAAAAAUUAUAAAGUUGUAAAGAACUAUAGGUAGAUACUAGACAAUAUGCGUUUCUUGCAGUAAUAAUCAAGGGAAUAAAACCAUACUAAGAAAGCUGAUAUUUAUAUCAGCCUUCUCCUUGGGGUGAUUUUCUAAAUUGUAGUUGAAAAAGUGAUAGUGUUCAGAUAAAAGAAGUAAAAUUAUCUCGAGAUUGAUAAGGCAGCAAAAAAAAAAAAAAAAAAGAAAAGGUUAGGAGCCAGGAAGAGAGGGCACAUAGAGAGCAGACAGCCUGAACCUCUGGUACAAUCUUGGAUGUUCAAAACUGGACUUGUAAAUAUGAAGGUAAUUUCAAUAGGGCGAAGGGAAAGACAAUGGGUGAGACAGAAAGUAACAGUGACAGAGAGAAAUGAAAGGAGGGAGAGAGAGAGAGAAAGAGAGGCAGAUACACACACAUACACUUACACAUGGUGGGGGGAAUGGAAGGCUGAUCAGAUAUUUCAAAGAUAACUAAGUGUUGG
rnacentral:lncRNA from 1 species